ACCUGGCUGGCUCAGUUGGAAGAGCAUGGGACUCUUGAUCUCAGGGUCAUGAGUUUGAGCCCCAUGAGGGGUA
rnacentral:tRNA from 1 species